GGGCGGUUAGCUCAGUUGGUUAGAGCGUCUGCCUUACAAGCAGAAGGUCACCCGUUCGAGCCGGGUACCGCCCACCA
rnacentral:tRNA from 1 species